rnacentral:rRNA from 1 species
CCUACGGGAGGCAGCAGUGAGGAAUAUUGGUCAAUGGGCGAGAGCCUGAACCAGCCAAGUCGCGUGAGGGAGGACGGCCCUAGGGGUUGUAAACCUCUUUUGCCGGGGGACAAACGGCGGCACGCGUGCCGUCCCGAGGGUACCCGGAGAAAAAGCAUAGGCAAACUCCGUGCCAGCAGCCCCGGUAAGACGGGGGAUGCGGGCGUUAUCCGGAUUUAUUGGGGUUAAAGGGUGCGUAGGGGGGAUGCCAAGUCAGCGGGAAAAUACUGGGGCUCAACCUGGGUCCGACGUUGAAACUGGCGUUCUUGAGUGUGCGAGAAGUACGCGGAAUGCGUGGUGUAGCGGUGAAAUGCAUAGAUAUCACGCAGAACCCCGAUUGCGAAGGCAGCGUACCGGCGCCCGACUGACGCUGAAGCACGAAAGCGUGGGUAUCGAACAGGAUUAGAUACCCCUGUAGUC